AGGUAGUUUGAUCCUGGCUACAGGACGAACGCUGGCGGCGUGCUUAACACAUGCAAGUCGAGCGGUAAGGCCCUUCGGGGUACACGAGCGGCGAACGGGUGAGUAACACGUGAGCAAUCUGCCCUUCUCUUUGGAAUAACCAUUGGAAACGAUGGCUAAUGCCGAAUAUGAACCCCUUUCGCAUGUUGGGGGUUGGAAAGCUCCGGCGGAGAAGGAUGAGCUCGCGGCCUAUCAGCUUGUUGGUGAGGUAAUGGCUCACCAAGGCAUUGACGGGUAGCCGGCCUGAGAGGGUGACCGGCCACACUGGGACUGAGACACGGCCCAGACUCCUACGGGAGGCAGCAGUGGGGAAUAUUGGACAAUGGGCGAAAGCCUGAUCCAGCAACGCCGCGUGAGGGAUGACGGCCUUCGGGUUGUAAACCUCUUUCAGCAGGGACGAAGCGAAAGUGACGGUACCUGCAGAAGAAGGACCGGCCAACUACGUG
rnacentral:rRNA from 1 species